GAGGAGAAAGAGAGAGGGAGAGAGGGAGAGAGAGAGAGAGAGAUGGAGAGAGAUGUGCUUCUGUAAAACUGGACCCCGCGCAUACCAAGACAAGUACUGUUUUUGUUGUCUCUUGCCAAUAAAACUGAUU